UUUGCUCCCUCUAGGCGCAAUAUUUGAAAAAUACAAUAUCACCUUCCACUGUUAUGCCGAUGACAUACAGAUCUAUUUUGAACUUACUGACGACCUUGCUGUGUCCCUUCACUACUUUCAAGAAUGCAUGCGUGAGGUCAAAGAAUGGUUCAUGAGUAAUUCUCUCGUUUUAAACAAUAAGAAGACUGAGAUUGUGGUGUUCAACUGCCCUGGGUUCCUUUGCUAGCUCUUCCUGUGACUAUGUCAGUAACUUGGCUGUACUGCUGCAAGUGUCUGCUGUAGUGAGAUCUAGCUUCCACCAACUGCGCCUUAUCUCUAAGGCUAGGCAUUAUGUUCCGCAUGAGGACCUGGAGAAGCUUAUUCACACUUUUGUGACCUCCAGGUUGGAUUAUUGAAACUCCUUGUACUACGGUCUUCCCCCUUCUCUUCUUCUGCAAACAGUCCAAAAUGCGGCAGCUCGCCUCUUGACUGGUACCAGGAAAUUUUGCCCUAUUACUCCUGUUUUAGCUAACUUGCACUGGCUGCCCAUAAAGUACGAUAUUCAAUUUAAAAUAUUAUUGAACUUCUCAACCAACAUACUCCAACUAGAACACUCAUAUGUGCCACUCUACUACUUCUGAUGCAACCUAGAUCUCGGCUGAAGUCCCGGGGUGACCGUGCGUUUGCUCUGGCUGCCCCGGUACUGUGGAAUAAUCUUCCUCUUGAUAUCCGCACAUCUGAUUCUAUUGCAGCGUUUAAAUCACGACUAAAAACCCACUUAUUCAGUCUUGGCUUUCCCUCUAGUUAACAUUUCUUUUAUGAUUUUAUAUUAUGCACUUUUAUGCUCAUUUAAUUCCUUGUUUGUUCUGUAUCUGUUGCUUUCCUGUGUGUCAGUGACAGCUAUGUGCUUGCAUACCUAGUACUUGCUUUGGUCCUAUUUCUAUUAUCUUCCUUCUAUUCUCUAUGUUACUUGUUAAGCACCUUGGCAUACCCUUGGUUUUUAACUGUGCUUUAUAAAUAAAGUUUGUUAUAUUGUUAUUAUUGAUGAUCACUUUGAAUGUUCAUGUGUAUGAGCCAUGUAAUGUCCGUGUGUGCAUGCUGACUGUGCUGCUCUGACCCCCCUCCUCCUUUCAGGGUGGAGCCUGCUGGAGUCCGAUGGUUGAGACCAGGUCUGAGGAAGUAUUCCUGUCAACUCACAAUCGACACAAACACAGUGAACACAAACCUCCAACUGUCUGACAACAACAGGAAGGUGACACAUGUGGAGGAGGUUCAGUCAUAUCCUGAUCAUCCAGACAGAUUUGAUGUUUAUCAGCUGCUGUGUAGAAAUGGUCUGACUGGUCGCUGUUACUGGGAGGUCGAGUGGAGAGGAAGAGUUUAUAUAUCAGUGAGUUACAGAAGCAUCAGAAGGAAAGGAGGCAGUGACUGUGUGUUUGGAUACAAUGAUCAGUCCUGGAGUCUGAGCUGCUCUGAUGAUGGUCCUCAUUCUGUCUGGCACAAUAACA